rnacentral:tRNA from 1 species
GGGCCCGUAGCUCAGGUGGAUGGAGCACUCGCCUUCUAAGCGAGGGGACGGCGGUUCGAGUCCGCCCGGGCCCG